GGAAGUAAAAGUCGUAACAAGGUCUCCGUUGGUGAACCAGCGGAGGGAUCAUUACAGAGUGUAAAAACUCCCUAACCCGUGUGAACCUAUACCACUGUUGCUUCGGCGGACUCGCCCCGGGCGCCACCGCGCGCCCCGGAACCAGGCGGCCGCCGGGGGACCAAACCAAACUCUUGUAUCUCCAGUACGUCGUCUGAGUGGAUCUCCCCUGAAAAGGAAAUCAAAUCAAAACUUUCAACAACGGAUCUCUUGGCUCUGGCAUCGAUGAAGAACGCAGCGAAAUGCGAUAAGUAAUGCGAAUUGCAGAAUUCAGUGAAUCAUCGAAUCUUUGAACGCACAUUGCGCCCGCCAGUAUUCUGGCGGGCAUGCCUGUCUGAGCGUCAUUUCGACCCUCGCGCCCCGCGGACGUCAAGUCCGCCGGGGGGCGGUGUUGGAGGCCGGCCCACCACACCCGGUGGGCCGCCCCCGAAAUGCAGUGGCGACCGCGCCGUGGCAGACCCCUGCGUAGUACACCAACUCGCGGGAAGGCGCCCGGGACGGCCCGCCGUAAAACCCCCAACCCAUCACAAGGUUGACCUCAGAUCAGGUAGGAAUACCCGCUGAACUUAAGCAUAUCAAUAAGCGGAGGA
rnacentral:rRNA from 1 species